AAAUAGCAUUUGUAGAUUCCUGUGAACAUCAAGUCAUAAACAUGUAAUUCUGAACAGCAACAUCUUCCUAAUAAGAAUUUCGACCAGUUGACAAUAACAGAAUUCAGUCUUGUUCAUGUUGAUGAUCGGUACAACACGAGACAGAUAGCAAGCCAUGGUAUAUCAGACCGUAUACCACAGGGGGCUGUGGACAGUCUGGAGAGGGGAGGGGUGCAUCACUCUGGGCCAACCAGGGUGGUGAAGAGACUGUUCAGUACCAUAUUAGGAAUUGUUUGAGUGAAGAAUCGAGGGGGACACAGGAUGGAACUGCUCUACCCAACAACCAGAUGUGGACGAAGGAAAACGCCAAGGGGCUUGGACAAGUUCGGGGGCCCACAAAGGAGGAGCAAGAGUAUUAACCAUGCUAAACCUCUACUAUGAUAGGCCAACUGGACAAGUUGAGAAUAAAAUUGUCAUAGUAUAAAAACUACUAUUUGAGUACAUUCCACAGUUCUCUGAUCUACCCUGCGCGGAGAUACAGUGAACCAGUAUAUACGAAAAUUGCAUUUACCAUUUAUCGUUUGAGUUUAAUUAAAAUACUUAAAAUAUA